UGACCCAGAUGAGCAAAGAGUAUGAUAAAAGAUUUCCUUUCGUUUGUAUAAACACUUCAAGAGUGCUUCAUGUCUGUGAAUGGAAAACAAAAGUUGCAUGAUGAGACAUUUUUCAGCCAUGACUUCUGAAGACUUAUAGCUGUAGCACGCUCCUAAGACACAGAGCCUUCUAAGAUCCAAGAAUGUCAUCUUCCCUGUCUUUUACCCUUUUUUGAAAGCAUCUAAAGAAAAACUGGAAGCUGCAGAGAUAUAUGAGGAAUUGACAGCUUUCUCAGCAGGGAAGAUUAGCCUCUUUACAUUGGAAGACUUCUGUGUGGUGUAUGCAUGUCAGAGCCUUCCCCCACUGCUUUCGACAAGCUGAGUGAAAUCUAUC